rnacentral:lncRNA from 1 species
GGAAAUUGAGGUUGCGGAAACACACGCACACACACAGUGAGACUGGAGCAGGAGUUCAAUAGGCAAAAGGAAAUAACAGCUUUCUGUCACAGAGAAGGGUCCCAAGCGGGUUGCCAAGUCGUGGUAAAAAAGUAUUUCCUGCCUCAGGAAUGGAAUCACUAACUGCCUUUCGGGGAAUUGGGCGACGACUUCUGGCUACUUCCUGCUGGAGAGGGGCGUGGUAUGGGAACAGCAGCUAGGGCUCAUCCUGGGGUUGAUUUAAGGGUCCCUGGUAGAAAAGCCUCAUUUUUGGCCUCAUUUUAUUUUUGGCCUCAUUUGCAGCACCAUUUAAAGCUUGAUGGUUUCCAGGUGAGAAGAGAUAAACUUUGCAAGGAGGUUUAGAAUAUAGGGUUUAAAUAUGAGCAUUAAGACUACCGUUAUUAGUGGAGGCACUAUAGGCCAUAACCAUGACAACAGAGUUUUCUACCUGUGAGCCAUUUAGAUGGGUUGUGGGUUGUGCUGUUGUAAGUGGGUGUAUGGGGCUUGUCUUUGUUAAGCUUUCUUGGUUUUACUUCCACCCCCGCCCCCACCCCC